CUGUGCACUUUUAAUCCACCUCUUUUUCUGAUCUCUUCUUAGAUGUCCUUUCUCUGGGAAGGGCCCCUCUAAGUCUGGGUCAGCUGGCUUGCUCCCUGACUUGUUCCCAUAAUGCCCUCUACUGCUGUUCUCAUCAUACUUGUCAUGUUGGAUGAUGGCUUCUUAUUUUUGUGUAUCCUCCCCUUACCUGUAAGUACAAUGACACCAGAGACUGGGUCUAUCUCAGGUCCCCCACCACCCAACACACAGUGCCUGGCACAUAUUCUGUCCUCAGUGUGUGUGUCUGUGUGUACAUCUUAGUGUAUGCCCAUGUGUUAAAUGAAGCCAAGACCUUGCUUCAAAUCCUGGCUCUGCCACUUACCUGCACUCACUGACUGCCUGCUUCCCCAUCUUUUCUGCCCUCCUCAUUCCCACUGCCAAUUCCCAAGUUAAGGUCCUCAUAAUAGUUUACCUAAAUUGUUUCUAGAAAAUUCCUUUAAAUUUGCCCUGCCUGCUCCCAAUGCUGCCCUUUGCUUGCCUUCAGGUAAUUUUUGUUAAAAUGUUGGUAAAUGUUCUCUCUCAUUAAGAAAAACCUUAGGAUUUAUAUUAAAACUUUCAGCUCCCUAGUCUAGCUUUCAGGGCUGUUUACCAUCUAAUCUCAAACUACCUUUCCAGCGCUCCUCGCAUGAACUCUGACUCACCAGCAUCAGACCGUCUGCCAUUUCCUGAGUGCAUCAUCAGCUGUCACAUCUCUGGGCGGUUAAGGCAGCUCCUCUUUCUGCCUCGGAAGGCCUUCCGACUCCCUCUUCCACCUGAAGAAAUUCUCUGGGGUCACAGAGAUCUUGUUCCUCCUCCUUCUCCGACUGCCUGGAGUGGGAAGAACCUGGCCACAGCAGAAGGAAGUGGGGCUUUCACAAAUAGUUUACAGCACGGAUCCUGUUCUCAACCUGGCAACUUGCACAUCGCUGCCUCUCAAAAUACCAACCAUGGCCAUUGUUUUUCAGAGUGCUGACCAGAAGUCCUCCAGAGCCUGUUGAUCAA
rnacentral:lncRNA from 1 species